UACAGAGGUCUCAAGCGUUGUUCGGAUUCAUUGGGCGUAAAGGGUGCGUAGGUGGCGCCGUAAGUCAGGUGUGAAAUUUCGGAGCUUAACUCCGAAACUGCAUUUGGUACUGCGGUGCUUGAGGACUGGAGAGGAGACUGGAAUUCACGGUGUAGCAGUGAAAUGCGUAGAUAUCAGGAGGAACACCUAUUGCGAAGGCAGCUCGCUGGGACGUAACUGACGCUGAGACGCGAAAGCGUGGGGAGCAAACAGG
rnacentral:rRNA from 1 species